UUGCACCUGCCAAUUGAAUGGUCCGGUAAGGCCUCAGGAUUAUGGCCCCUGCUAUUUAGUUAGUGGGAGCCGUGAGAACUUGUCCAAACCUUAUCAUUUAAAGGAAGAUG
rnacentral:rRNA from 1 species